CGCGGCCUCUGCCCGGGCUGCUGUGUCCUGCGGAGCUCCGAGCACGUGCAGUGCCCAGCUGCCAGUUUGAGGAGAUGCUUGCCCUGGAUGCCUUGAAAGUAGGGUGGUCUUCACCAGGCUAAAAGAAUGAUUGGGGAUUUAGCUCAGCGGUAGAGCGCCUGCCUAGCAAGAGGAAGGCCCUGGAAGGCCCUGGGUUCGGUCCCCAGCUCCGGAAAAGAAAAGAAAACAAAACAAAACAAAAAAGAAUGAUCCACAGCAGGGUGCUGUGGUUCUCAGGUGAGUGUCUAUUCUAGCAUUGACUGCUUCCUCUGCCAGGCCUGUGGACUACUUUGUAUGUAUCAGGAAACAAUUGGGAAACAAGUUCACUCUUGCCACUUACUGUAGAACUUUGGGGGGGUUUUUGUUUUGUUUGUUUGAAAGUAGCAUAAAAUAUUUUUGUGUCUGCCAUUCCAACUAAGGAAUGACUUGUAGGAAUAUUCUAUGUCUUAGAUAACAAUGUAUCUUGUUUCUGUUCACUGCUAAGUGUCUAAGUUUGGUUCCUGCCAAAGGGCAGAGGCUGUUGGACAAAGCUGAGAGCAUAGAGACUUCUGUGAUUUCUGUAUUCAUGUCAGCUACCUGGGGUGGUCCUGGGAUGCAUGAGAUGGGAAGGGAGAGGGAUUUCUGGAACAGUCCAGCAGUUGUCAGCUGCCCAGGCUGUGUGGUGCCUGUGAUUGUGUUACACUGUUGGAAGAGCAAAGGCUGCUUUAGAAGGGUUGGCUCCAAGCACUGUUUUGGUGUUUGGUGCUGAGUACCUUCAGGCAGUGUAUUGCAUCCCUGAGAGUGGAAUGACUCCUUGUGGAGUUGGUCCUAGUCUAGGUGCGAACAAUUUUCAUGUUAACAGACAAAAGAAUUGGGACAGGGACAAAGCUGUGUGUUUAUAGGACACUUGCCUCACAUGUACUAAGCCGUGAACCUUACUGACAGUGUGUCACCUUUUCCUCCUUAUUCUAGAGCUGAAUGAGAUCUGCGUCCAUCCAGGACUUCAGGUUUCUGACUACACCGGGUUUUGAGUAAUGUAUGUGGUCUCUGAUGUAGAGGUACUUCAGUUCAGAUGGGGGAAGUUAAGUUUGCCUUAGAGGGUUACAGAACUGAUGAAAUUCCAGAGAAUGAAGUCCAGCUAUGCUUUGGCAGAUGGGACAGCUCACACCCACGACCUCUGAGUUACAUACAUCUCCAGCUAUAAUUUGGGGGGGGGGCUAGAUGAUAUCUGUGUACUACAUAUGGCUAGCUACUUGCUAAUUAAAAAGUAAGUGGUUUUCAGACAUAUCUAGUUGGAUGGUAGCCAUCUUAGAAUGUUCCAGAAAGUUUAGGAUACUGCUUUGUAAAAGCAAAGGUUUAUAAAGACUUUUUAAAUUUAUUUUUAUUAUUUAUUUAUUUAUUUUUUAAUAUUUUUUAUUUUUAUUUUUUAUCCCUAUAGUAAAUGUUGUUAGUACUGUCUUUGGCUUUUGCAACUAUGUUGCUUCUGUGUGUGAAAAGUAAUGUAUCGGCAAAUGAACAUGGCUAUAUUCCAAUAAAACAUAACUGAUGAACACUGACAUUGGGAUUUCAUUGGCAAUUUCAGAGUCAACGUUCCCAAAUGUUUGAAAGCUUAAGAUCUUCCCAAGGCACAUUGACAAAGAGAUAGCAGGAUAAGGAUUAGUAACAUUUCUGACCUUGAGGAUUGAACAGCAUUAGUCAGGUAUCAAUAUGUAUCUUCACAGUUUUCUCUACAUAUAAUUCUCCUGGGUCAGCCUUCCAAGUACUCGAUUCAUGAACCACUUGCUAAGCUUUCAUUGGUGUUCCUUAUUGUAGAAGGAUAAGGUGACUAAAUUAUCCUGAAGAAUCCGAAUCAUACUUAUUUCUUACCUCUGGGCUUAUAUGGCUUCCAUCAUAGUUGUUCUCUCCAUUUGUAAUGGGCUUAAAGCAAAAUUUAAACAUGUGUAUGCCCCUAGAGGGCAGCAGAGGACUUUUAAUCUGCGGGAAUGGGUGCUGAGAACUUGGUGCUCUAGAGGACCAGCAAGGUAACCACUGAGCCAUCUGUCCAGAUCCAACACUUUUUCACAUGGGUCCUCAUAUGUUUGGUUGGCCUCGUACCUAAACCGCCUCCAUCCCUGAAGUGCUGGAAUAAGUAAAGACCAUCACAUCUGGCAGAUCCUGCAGCCUGUCUCCUGUCAUGGGAUUACAGGUGCCACAUCUGGUUGAUCGCCAUUUUGGAGACAGUCUUGUAUAACCACUACUGGCCUUAAACUUCACAGAACAGUAACCUUACUGUGUCUUGAAAGCAUUCUGGUACCUGCAAGUUGCCACCAUGCCCUUCCUGCAGCAAUUUUAAUUUUGUACUUUGAUUUUGAGUGGGAAUGCAUAUGCUGCUCACAACACUAGUGGGCGUCCGAGGGCACCACUGAGUUCACCCUCUUUCUUCCAUGUGAGUCCUGGGAAUCCAACUAAGCUGUGGGCUUGGCAGGAGGCAGCUUUAUCCAUUAAGCCUUCUACAGAAGUUUGGCUCUUGGACUGUUCAGGUUGCCUUCCUGGCCAUGGGUAGGCAUGCUUACAGCUUGGUUGUCUGUGAUCUUGAAAGAAGAUAAUACUGUGGCUAUUAAUGCAUGGAUUCCCUGUCCUGGGGGUUUCAAUGCCAUAGAUAAUGCAACUAAAGUAAUUUAAUGGGAUUUACUAAUUGAUAAAUGGAGUUAAUUAGUCACUACUUAUCCCAGUUGUCCUUUAGGUCCUGCUAAAUUCAAGUUGAAUCAUUAAAGCAUUCAAAACAACUUACACUGUUUUAUUAUUUUGUGGGGGAAAGUUGAGGAGACAGUUUAUCAGUUAAAG
ensembl:lncRNA